rnacentral:rRNA from 1 species
UACGAAGGGGGCUAGCGUUGUUCGGAAUUACUGGGCGUAAAGGGCUCGUAGGCGGCCAACUAAGUCAUACGUGAAAUCCCUCAGCUUAACUGGGGAACUGCGUGUGAUACUGGAUGGCUUGGAUUUGGGAGAGGGAUGCGGAAUUCCAGGUGUAGCGGUGAAAUGCGUAGAUAUCAGGAGGAACACCGGUGGCGAAGGCGGCUAUCUGGACAGAAACUGACGCUGAGGCGCGAAAGCCAGGGGAGCAAACGGG